AUUGAACGCUGGCGGCAGGCCUAACACAUGCAAGUCGAACGGUAACAGGAAGAAGCUUGCUUCUUUGCUGACGAGUGGCGGACGGGUGAGUAAUGUCUGGGAAACUGCCUGAUGGAGGGGGAUAACUACUGGAAACGGUAGCUAAUACCGCAUAACGUCGCAAGACCAAAGAGGGGGACCUUCGGGCCUCUUGCCAUCGGAUGUGCCCAGAUGGGAUUAGCUAGUAGGUGGGGUAACGGCUCACCUAGGCGACGAUCCCUAGCUGGUCUGAGAGGAUGACCAGCCGCACUGGAACUGGGACACGGUCCAGACUCCUACGGGAGGCAGCAGUGGGGAAUAUUGCGCAAAGGGCGCAAGCCUGAUGCAGCCAUGCCGCGUGUAUGAAGAAGGCCUUCGGGUUGUAAAGUACUUUCAGCGGGGAGGAAGGGAGUAAAGUUAAUACCUUUGCUCAUUGACGUUACCCGCAGAAGAAGCACCGGCUAACUCCGUG
rnacentral:rRNA from 1 species